CCAUUUGCAGCAUGCAUAUAUGUAGCUAGGGUUUCGGCAACCCGAGGAGCAGACAUUCCCCGACUGGAGGAGGCGUUGAGCAGCCCGCGUUGAAGAAUGGAGGAGAGGGAAGGGGCCGCAACACCCUAGGCACGGAUUCAGAUUCAGUGACUUUACUCAAGGAAGUUACAACGUAACUUUACUCUCUCCAUCUACCCUCCAACUAAGAUCCAAGGGCUACCAUCGCUUGCAGGCCAAAAGGAGCCAAGACUUGGAACUUUGUUCCCCGUGCGUCUGCUAGAUUAAGGAUUUGAGGUGUGGCCGGUGCAUCUGGGAAGGCGUCCGCCGCGUUCGUACUGGCGUCUGGCCGUCUACGGUGUCCCUUGGCGAGUACCUGUUGGCCGCGCUUGUGCAAUUCGAGGCGGCGUCGUGGCGGCGGCUUCAUCAGCCUGGACGAGAUCGCGGUGCUCGACGCCACCGUCGCGGGCGACGCGGCCGCCGUUGAGGACCUGCGCAACGCCUUCGGCUUCUCUGACGCCGACGGCAACGGCCUAUCCACCACCAAGCUCAUGCAUGUCCUCUGAGUCGCCAGUGAGUCCGCGUUCGCCGUGCAGUGUCGUCGCAUUGUCGAGGGCCCAUACAGCUGGUCCUACCGGCCUUGUGCGCCUUCACGCCGGUGUAGACCAUGGUCGGAACGACUCCGAUGCAGCCCAUUCUAUCAGUAGCACGAGCGUGGCCUUCGUGAAGCAUAUGGACACUGACGAGCUCGAGCGUCGUCUAAGACGUUUACCACGGUGUGCUGCGCGAGGAUCGACGAAGCCGCCGCACGCCAGAUGCUCGCAGGGCAUGGAGCGCGUGUGGUGCCCGCGGGACGUUGCGAAGUUCGGGCGUCGUAGUCGCCGGGUGUGUUGUUGUCAGGGACGUGAACGCCGUGAAGGAGGACACGUGGGAUGCGGUCAGGCAAGACCGACGCCGGGACGCGCAUGGCGCGCUGCCUGUCGACGGCCAUGUCCCGCUCCUGUUGUUCAUCGACCGACGAAGAGCUCAGACAGGAUGGCUGGGCGCGCUGCGCGCGGAAUGCCAGUGAGGCGCGACUGAAGGGAACGCAAGACUCCGUCACGUGAAAAAAAAGAGCUUCGAAUCGAUCUGGCUCCUUGGAUAUUGGUUGGAGGGUGGAUGGCAGGAGUAAAGUUACGACGUGACUUGCCUAAGCAAAGUCACCGAAUCCGCGUCCCCUAGGCACGCCGACGCGCCACCCGCAAGGGUCGCCGUCGCGUCACCGCUCGCAACCGUGUCGUGCCUGCCACCGCCUUGGGAACAGAGAGAGAGAGGAGGAGUAGGAGGAGGAGCCUGCCGCCGCCUUGGGAACAGAGAGAGAGAGAGAGAGAGAGGAGGAGGAGGAGGAGGAGGAGGAGAAGUGCUGCGGCCGCGGCUCGCUCAUGCCCAGCGCCCCG
rnacentral:lncRNA from 1 species